AUCCUGCCAGUAGUCAUAUGCUUGUCUCAAAGAUUAAGCCAUGCAUGUCUAAGUGCAAGCCGAAUUAAGGUGAAACCGCGGAAGGCUCAUUAUAUCAGUUAUGGUUCAAUAGAUCGUACUUCAGUUACAUGGAUAACUGCGGAAAUACUGGAGCUAAUACAUGCCAACAGAGUCCCGACCGGAGACGGAAGGGACGCUUUUAUUAGAUCAAAACCAAUCGGUGGCUUCGGCCAUCGUCUUUCUUGGUGACUCUGAAUAACUUUGGGCUGAUCGCACGGCCUUCGUGCCGGCGACGCAUCUUUCAAAUGUCUGCCUUAUCAACUGUCGAUGGUAGGUUCUGCGCCUACCAUGGUUGUAACGGGUAACGGGGAAUCAGGGUUCGAUUCCGGAGAGGGAGCCUGAGAAACGGCUACCACAUCCAAGGAAGGCAGCAGGCGCGCAAAUUACCCACUCCCGGCUCGGGGAGGUAGUGACGAAAGAUAACGAUACGGGACUCAUCCGAGGCCCCGUAAUCGGAAUGACUACACUUUAAAUCCUUUAAGGAGUAUCAAUUGGAGGGCAAGUCUGGUGCCAGCAGCCGCGGUAAUUCCAGCUCCAAUAGCGUAUAUAAAAGUUGUUGCGGUUAAAAAGCUCGUAGUUGGAUCUGUGUCCCGCACCGUCGGUUCACCGCCCGACGGUGUCAAACUGACGCGAUGCGGGACGUCCUGCCGGUGGCGUGUCUAGCUGGCGUCCUUCGGGGCGCUGGGCGGCGCCGAUUCAAUCCUGUCGCGGUGCUCUUCAUUGAGUGUCGAGGUGGGCCGGCACGUUUACUUUGAACAAAUUAGAGUGCUUCAAGCAGGCUGGAUAUUGCCUGAAUGCUAGUGCAUGGAAUAAUGGAAUAGGACCUCGGUUCUAUUUUGUUGGUUUUCAGAACCAGAGGUAAUGAUUAAUGGAGACAGGCGGGGGCAUUCGUAUUGCGACGUUAGAGGUGAAAUUCUUGGAUCGUCGCAAGACGGACCGAAGCGAAAGCAUUUGCCAAGGAUGUUCUCGUUGAUCAAGAACGAAAGUUAGAGGUUCGAAGGCGAUCAGAUACCGCCCUAGUUCUAACCAUAAACGAUGUUGACUAGCCAUCCGGUAAAGGUUCUUUUUAUGCCUUACCGGGCAGCUUCCGGGAAACCAAAGUUUUUGAAUUCCGGGGGAAGUAUGGUUGCAAAGCUGAAACUUAAAGGAAUUGACGGAAGGGC
rnacentral:rRNA from 1 species